rnacentral:rRNA from 1 species
GACGAACGUUGGCGGCGUGCUUAAUACAUGCAAGUCAACUGAAGCAGUGGUAGCAAUAUCGCUGUGGAGGUGGCGCACGGGUGAGUAACACGUAGGUAAUCUGCCUUCAGGUCUGGCAUAACUCCGGGAAACCGGGGCUAAUAGCAGAUGAUGCAGCGGCUCGACAUCGAGACAGUUGUUAAAGCUAUGGCGCCUGAAGAUGAGCCUGCGUCUGAUUAGCUAGUUGGCGGGGUAACGGCCCAACAAGGCAACGAUCAGUAGCUGGUCUGAGAGGAUGAUCGGCCACACUGGAACUGAGACACGGUCCAGACUACUACGGGAGGCAGCAGUAAGGAAAAUGGCUCAAUGGGAGAAAUCCUAAAGCAGCAACGCCGCGUGAGGGACGAAGGGCGUUUGCUUGUAAACCUCUGUAGUGAGAGAAAAAAAUCCCAAUCUGUGGGACAUGAUGGUAUCUCAAAAGUAAGCCCCGGCUAACUACGUG